rnacentral:rRNA from 1 species
GUAACAAGGUCUCCGUAGGUGAACCUGCGGAGGGAUCAUUACACAAUAAAAUACGAAGGCCGUUCGCGGCUGGACUAUUUAUUACCCUUGUCUUUUGCGCACUUGUUGUUUCCUGGGCGGGUUCGCUCGCCACCAGGACCACAAUAUAAACCUUUUUUAUGCAGUUGCAAUCAGCGUCAGUAUAACAAAUGUAAAUCAUUUACAACUUUCAACAACGGAUCUCUUGGUUCUGGCAUCGAUGAAGAACGCAGCGAAAUGCGAUACGUAGUGUGAAUUGCAGAAUUCAGUGAAUCAUCGAAUCUUUGAACGCACAUUGCGCCCUUUGGUAUUCCAAAGGGCAUGCCUGUUCGAGCGUCAUUUGUACCCUCAAGCUUUGCUUGGUGUUGGGCGUUUUUGUCUUUGGCCCGCCAAAGACUCGCCUUAAAAUGAUUGGCAGCCGGCCUACUGGUUUCGCAGCGCAGCACAUUUUUGCGCUUGCAAUCAGCAAAAGAGGAUGGCAAUCCAUCAAGACUCCUUCUCACGUUGACCUCGGAU